ACGAACGCUGGCGGCAGGCCUAACACAUGCAAGUCGAGCGAGACCUUCGGGUCUAGCGGCGGACGGGUGAGUAACGCGUGGGAACGUGCCCUUUUCUGCGGAAUAGCCUCGGGAAACUGAGCGUAAUACCGCAUACGCCCUUUGGGGGAAAGAUUUAUCGGAAAAGGAUCGGCCCGCGUUGGAUUAGGUAGUUGGUGGGGGAAUGGCCUACCAAGCCUACGAUCCAUAGCUGGUUUGAGAGGAUGAUCAGCCACACUGGGACUGAGACACGGCCCAGACUCCUACGGGAGGCAGCAGUGGGGAAUCUUAGACAAUGGGGGCAACCCUGAUCUAGCCAUGCCGCGUGAGUGAUGAAGGCCUUAGGGUUGUAAAGCUCUUUCAGCUGGGAAGAUAAUGACGGUACCAGCAGAAGAAGCCCCGGCUAACUCCGUG
rnacentral:rRNA from 1 species